rnacentral:rRNA from 1 species
CAGUCGCCGCGGUAAUACGGAGGGUGCAAGCGUUAAUCGGAAUUACUGGGCGUAAAGCGUGCGUAGGCGGUUCGUUAAGUCUGUUGUGAAAGCCCCGGGCUCAACCUGGGACUGGCAAUGGAUACUGGCGAGCUAGAGUGUGUCAGAGGAUGGUGGAAUUCCCGGUGUAGCGGUGAAAUGCGUAGAGAUCGGGAGGAACAUCAGUGGCGAAGGCGGCCAUCUGGGACAACACUGACGCUGAGGCACGAAAGCGUGGGGAGCAAACAGGAUUAGAUACCCCUGUAGUCCCUGUCUCUUAUAC